rnacentral:rRNA from 1 species
CCUACGGGUGGCAGCAGUGAGGAAUCUUGGUCAAUGGGCGCGAGCCUGAACCAGCAAAGUAGCGUGAAGGAUGAAUGCCCUACGGGUUGUAAACUUUUUUUUUAACGGAAUAAAGUGAGGCACGGGUACCUUUUUGUCUGUAACUUUUGAUUAAGGAUAGGCUAACUCCGUGCAAGCGGCAGCGGUAAUACGGAGGCGUCGAGCGUUAUCCGGAUUCAUUGGGUUUAAAGGGAGCGUAGAUGGGUUGUUAAGUCAGUUGUGAAUGUUUGCGGCUCAACCGUAAACUUGCAAUUGAUACUGGCUGACUUGAGUGCAGUUGAGGUAGGCGGAAUUCGUGGUGUAGCGGUGAAAUGCUUAGAUAUCACGAAGAACUCCGGUGGCGAAGGCAGCUUACU